rnacentral:lncRNA from 1 species
GGAAAAAAAGAAAAAAAAAAGAAGGCUAAUGGGAACCAGGAGGCAGAGCAGAUUGUACAGAGAAUAAAGACUUAUACGUAUUUACAGGGAAGUAGAAAAGACAUGGUAAGACAUAGCAAACUGAAUGUGAACCCUGGGAAGAUAGAACACUCCUUUUGCCUGACCUUUCCUUACUCCACUACCAUGGCCCAUGCUAUUCUGAGGCCACUCCCCAGUUGCUCAGACAAACCUAUACCCAAGAAUAGAGGU